ensembl:lncRNA
GGCUCUUUCUGCAAAAAGAAACGGCAAACGGCAGCUUGACCAUUUCUGUCCACUACCGUGAUACAGACAUAGGUGCAACAGUUUCGCCUACACGAUAUGACCAUGGCUCAAAAUAGCACACAAGCCCCGUUAAGUAAUUCUACAGAGAGUAACUUGUCUGAGAGCAGCUCCUUACUUGGACUUGCUGUUGGUUUGCCUAUAUUCUUCAUGGCUUUGCUGCUGGUGGGGAUAGCAGUGUUUUUCUGGUUUCGACACAGAAAAUCAGUGGAUAUUGAGUUAUCGAACAAACUUAAGACCAAAGACAAGAGCCCCGGUGGGCAACCCAAUGAGUCUCAUUACAGUGGAUACACCGGAGGGCUUCAGCCCGCACCCCAGAGCCCAAUCUAUGAGAACUUUCCUGGUGUACAGUCCAAUCUACGUGAAUUUCAGAGUGCUGGACAGAGUGAGGACACACACAGGUAAAGUACAAAAGUCAAUUCUGUAAGCGUGUGUAACACACUGUGCUAAUGUAGAUCAUUAGAAACUGGGUGAUGAGAUGGCUGCGAUAAGUCUUUACAGUAGAAAUGGAAUUUUUUUACUUUUGAUUUGCAAGAUCACAGUGACGCACUGAAUGUGUGGCAAUAAGAGUCAGAGAGAGUUACAUCAAAGGAGUUUUUAUUUUGCAGCAAUAUUUAUUGGGUUAUAUAUUAGUGCAAUUUUUGCAGUUCAACUUUUUAUAAGGAUUUGAGUUUCCAAGAACUGAAUUUCACCUUUGCCCCCCAUUUAGAGACCAAGCAUACCUGCCGUGUGAUCCACAUGAUGCAAUCUACAGCAAUGAUCCUGCCCUCUUCCAUCCAGAUCAGGCUGAAAUCUCUGAGGAUGUUUACAUCAUGCCAGAUGCUUGAAAGUCUGAAAUGUUUUGCUGUCCAGUAUUAAUCCCCAAAAUGUUCAGUAGAAUCAUUUGUACUGGCAUGAUAUGAAAAAAAAGUCUUUAUUAUUAAAGGGUGAAAUCGAGGGCAGAACAUUUUGCCCGAGAAAUAGCGAUUCAAAUGCCCUCACAAACAUUACAUACAGUUUAUUGACUAAACACACUAUGAGACAGCAUAACAUAUUCAUGACCUCAUUGAUCACAGUUUAACAGGUGUUUCUGCCGAUUGCAAAUAAUCCCCGCUGAAAAGACCAGUUUAGACCAGUGUGAACGUUCCAUGCUGUAAAGACUGGUUUGUACUGGUUCAGUGGACCAAUAACUAAGUCUUUGUUGAGAUGCUGGGUCAUAUGCUGGACUUUUCAGCAAGGAUGGGGGGACAUUCACACAUUUUAAUGUUAAAAAAUAUAUUUGAAUUAAUGAAUUUGGUCAAUUUCGGUACAUCACUGGUUAAAAGUUUUUUUUUGUUUGUUUGUUUUUUGUUUUUUUUUGAUAAAUGAUUACUUUUGUUUAACAAGGGCACACUAAAUUAAUCGAAAGUGACGGUAAAGACAUUAAUAAUGUUACACAUGAUUUCUAUUUCAAAUAAGUGCCUCUCUUUUGCCAAAAGAAGGAAAAAAAUAAUUGUUUUAAUCAUUUCCAUGCUUUCCACAAAAUAUUAAGCCUGUUGGCACAAUGUUGAUAUUAGCAGCAAAUUAGCAUAUUAGACAGAUUUCUGAAGGAUCAUGUGACACUGAAGACUGAGUAAUGACUGCUGAAAAUUCAGAUUGGCGAUCACAGGAAUAUUAUUAAUUAUAAUUUUAAAUAUAUUUAAAUUGAAAAACAUUACAUUGAAUUAUGUUCUAUAAUAUUGCUGUUUUAUUGUAUUUUGAUCGAACAAAUGCAGGCUUGGUGAACAGACUUUCAAAGACAUUACAAAAAUCUUUCCAACCACAAACUUUUGAACGGUAGUUUAUGUGCAGUUAAUGUCACACGCCCUUACUUCAUAAGGAUUUUGCUCAUGUAUUCACAUGCAAAGCUUGUUCUUCAAGCUUUCAUAUUAAUUAGAGGGUGGUAAUAAUUAUCCAUCUUGACUGUGUCUUAUGAUCUUUUUGUCACUGUGACUCACCGAAACCUUUACUGAAAGAUCUCCUCUCUCAGCGAUUAGCUACAAAUUAGCUGAGAAUGUCUUUUCCACUUCCACAACUAAAUGAAACAAGUGGAACAUUAGACAAGCAGGGGGUUUGAUAUGGCACUGUGAAACUGCCAGAAAUGUCUCAGACAUACAAAGGCAUAGAUUUCAGUCUUUGUUUGCCCUUGUUUGUCUAGGUGUUAAUCAUACACUUCUCUUUGAAAAUGUAUAAAAUACGUGGUUUUCUUAAAAUUGCUGCAUAUCCUGUUGACGAGUGACAUUGUCAGUUAUAUUUCUCAACUGCCGAUCUCACAUGAGAUUGUUGCUGAUUUAAAUAUGCUUUCAUUUUACCUUAAAGUUAUAGUCAGUUGAAGUCCAUUUACCAGAAUUUAAACAUUACAUUGACCCAGUCCCAUUAACUUUCUUUGGAUGGCACUAUUGCCUUCAUAAGGGCUCAAAAACUUAAGCAUGAGUCACUUGCGCUGUCUCUCACCGUAUGCACUAUAUAUAUGUAUUUUUUAAAGUGUACAUGCAUUUUAUUUUUGCAAACCUAAACAUUUGAUUUGUGAAUUCAGCUUGUCGACUUUUUAAACUUGUCAGCCAGAUAAGAUCUUGUAAUUUGUUGACAUAGACGGAGUGAGAAUGACUUGUUAUGAUCCUGGUACACUUUCAGAAAAAAUGUCUUUGUAUCUUAUUUACCCGUAACUGGUACAUAUUAGUGCCUUGAAGGUACAUAUUAGUACUUUAAAAGUACAUAUUAGUAAAAGCAUGUAGUAUGUUAAGUAUAUAGUAGCCUACGUGAAGUGUACAUAUUAGUACCUUUUUUUCUGAGAGUGUAUCUUUAGAAAGUGCAGCCUUGAAAGCACAAACUAAUCAUUAAUGUAAUGUAUUUCAGUAAAAUGGUUAUGAAAGUAUAACUGUCUUUGUGUUUUCUGUAAUCUAUUAUUGAAAAAUGUCUUGGGGAAAAAAAUUGAAAAUCAUGCAUCUCAAAAAUAUUUAUAGUCAGCAAAAUCCAGCAGGGUCAACAGACAACAAAUAUUUAUGGACUACAGUGACACCAGUAUUAUAUAAAUACUGAGCCACAAAUGAACUCGUGUCUCUGGUGUGGUUGCUUCAGAGGACAUUCAUUCCCUGGUCAAGGCCAGCAACACCUAUGUGUGUUUUCAAGGCUACAGUUGUUAGAUCUGGCCUAUCUUUAUAGACAGGAUAAAUAUGGAUAUUGAUUGACAUGGAUACAUACCUUUUAUGGAUAUUUCUGGCAUGACCCACCUUGAAAUAUUAUCUAGAACUGAGAGGAUAUUGUAAAAUUUUAUUUUAAAAGACUGUAUGUGGGGAUUUUCUUAUCUUAUAUUCAAAAAUGUUGCAUUGAAAUGUGAUCAGUGAUUCAGCCAUUAAUCAUCCAUUCUGAAUAUAUAUAUAUACACAUUUCCUUAAAACAAUAUACUUUAUUAACAUUCUUUCAAAAAUACAAAAGGUUUCUUGAAUCAUUCACAACACAGCAACAAACGAGUACAAAAACAUUUCAAAUAAAUUACAAUAAAUAACUUGAUAUUCCA